GGAACAGGCCCUUCGGCCCACAAUGUCCAUGCUGAACAUGACACCAGGUUAAAUCAAUCUCCUCUGCAUGCACCUGACCAAUAUCUCUCCAUUCCCUGCAUGUCCAUGCUCCUGCCUGACAGCCUCU